UACGUAGGGGGCAAGCGUUAUCCAGAUUUACUGGGCGUAAAGCGCGUGUGGGCGGCUGGUUAGGUGUGAUGUGAAAACUCGAGGCUCAACUUCGAGCUGUCGGUGGAAACUUUCUGGCUAGAGUCCGGAAGAGGAGAAUGGAAUUCCUGGUGUAGCGGUGAAAUGCGCAGAUAUCAGGAAGAACACCCGUGGCGAAGGCGGUUCUCUGGGACGGUACUGACGCUGAGACGCGAAAGCGUGGGGAGCGAACAGG
rnacentral:rRNA from 1 species